rnacentral:rRNA from 2 species
CAGUCGAGCGGACCGACGGGAGCUUGCUCCCUUAGGUCAGCGGCGGACGGGUGAGUAACACGUGGGUAACCUGCCUGUAAGACUGGGAUAACUCCGGGAAACCGGGGCUAAUACCGGAUGCUUGAUUGAACCGCAUGGUUCAAUCAUAAAAGGUGGCUUUUAGCUACCACUUACAGAUGGACCCGCGGCGCAUUAGCUAGUUGGUGAGGUAACGGCUCACCAAGGCGACGAUGCGUAGCCGACCUGAGAGGGUGAUCGGCCACACUGGGACUGAGACACGGCCCAGACUCCUACGGGAGGCAGCAGUAGGGAAUCUUCCGCAAUGGACGAAAGUCUGACGGAGCAACGCCGCGUGAGUGAUGAAGGUUUUCGGAUCGUAAAACUCUGUUGUUAGGGAAGAACAAGUACCGUUCGAAUAGGGCGGUACCUUGACGGUACCUAACCAGAAAGCCACGGCUAACUACGUGCCAGCAGCCGCGGUAAUACGUAGGUGGCAAGCGUUGUCCGGAAUUAUUGGGCGUAAAGCGCGCGCAGGCGGUUUCUUAAGUCUGAUGUGAAAGCCCCCGGCUCAACCGGGGAGGGUCAUUGGAAACUGGGGAACUUGAGUGCAGAAGAGGAGAGUGGAAUUCCACGUGUAG